UACGAAGGGGGCGAGCGUUGUUCGGAUUUACUGGGCGUAAAGGGCGCGUAGGCGGCCCUCCUUGUCGCGUGUGAAAGCCCCGGGCUCAACCUGGGGAAUUGCGCGCGAAACGGGGGGGGCUUGAGUUCGGGAGAGGAGCGUGGAAUUCCCAGUGAUAGAGGUGAAAUUCGUAGAUAUUGGGAAGAACACCGGGUGGCGAAGG
rnacentral:rRNA from 1 species